GAUGAACGCUGGCGGCGUGCUUAACACAUGCAAGUCGAACGGUGAACGAGGGAGCUUGCUCCCUCCGGAUUAGUGGCGAACGGGUGAGUAACACGUGAGCAACCUGCCCUGGACUCUGGGAUAAGCGCUGGAAACGGCGCCUAAUACUGGAUAUGAGCUCUAAUCGCAUGGUGGGGGGUGGAACGAUUUUUUGGUCUGGGAUGGGCUCGCGGCCUAUCAGCUUGUUGGUGAGGUAAUGGCUCACCAAGGCGUCGACGGGUAGCCGGCCUGAGAGGGUGACCGGCCACACUGGGACUGAGACACGGCCCAGACUCCUACGGGAGGCAGCAGUGGGGAAUAUUGCACAAUGGGCGGAAGCCUGAUGCAGCAACGCCGCGUGAGGGAUGACGGCCUUCGGGUUGUAAACCUCAUUUAGCAAGGAAGAAGCUUUUGUGACGGUACUUGCAGAAAAAGCGCCGGCUAACUACGUGCCAGCAGCCGCGGUAAAAC
rnacentral:rRNA from 1 species